UGGGGGAUAUUGCACAAUGGGCGAAAGCCUGAUGCAGCGACGCCGCGUGGGGGAUGAAGGCCUGCGGGUUGUAAACUUCUUUUGCUCUGAACAAGGCAUGCCUUUGGGGUGUGUUGAGUGUAGGGGGUGAUUAGCGCCGGCUAACUACGUGCCAGCAGCCGCGGUAAUACGUAGGGCGCGAGCGUUGUCCGGCAUUAUUGGGCGUAAAGGGCUUGUAGGUGGCUGGUUGCGUCUGUCGUGAAAGCUCAUGGCUUAACUGUGGGUUUGCGGUGGGUACGGGCUGGCUUGAGUGCAGUAGGGGAGGCUGGCAUUCCUGGUGUAGCGGUGGAAUGCGCAGAUAUCAGGAAGAAUACCGGUGGCGAAGGCGGGUCUCUGGGCUGUUACUGACGCUGAGGAGCGAAAGCGUGGGGAUCGAACAGG
rnacentral:rRNA from 1 species